GGCUCAAUGAUUAUAGCCAAUUAUAUUGGCAAUAUACGCUAUUCUGAGAAUGUUUAAAUACUUAUGCGGACAAUUGAGAAUAUGAGAGCU
rfam:Ananas comosus cultivar MD2 ACMD2_Scaffold_1332, whole genome shotgun sequence.